GUCGAUAUGUUCGAGUGGUUAAGGAGACAGACUUGAAAUAUGUUGGGAUUCACCCAUGCAGGUUCAAACCCUGUUGUGGAUG
rnacentral:tRNA from 1 species